rnacentral:lncRNA from 1 species
UCUCCAAAUUUAGCCAAAAACCACCCCUAGCCACACCACCCAUCAAUCCUAAACCUUUCCAUACCAUUCCCCAUCCAUUCUACACCAUAAAAACCACCCAAAACCGUCCAAAACUUCUAGUGCCGCAGCUUGCAAGUAAGGAAGGAGAAGGAACAUCUUGUGCCGUGCCUAAGCCCAAGCCUUGGGAGUGUUGGAGCGUUUCUAGGUGUUUUCUAUCUUUGAUUUCAAUGUCUAAUUUUAUGUAUCUUUGUUUUGCAAGUAUGAGGAACUAAACCCCCCUUUAGCUAGGGGGUGAUUCGAAACUAUGUUUAUGCUUGCAAUAUGAAUUGAUUAUCUUUGGUUGGAAUUUCAUAAGUUGUGGAUUCAAUUUGUUUAACCGUUUGAUUGAUAACUUAUUUAUGUAUGUUUAUUGAGAGUGCACGCUUAAUUUUCAUGCAUAAAUAUGACGCUAGAAUAUAAGUGAGUUUCACCUAAUCGUUAUGAACUUAUAUUCACAAGUAGUGGAGGUUGCUUAUAAACAAUCGCGUUAAAUGAAUUCUUGGCACUAGUUUCAUGCUUUUCAUAGUAACGAAUGCCUCGUCAACACUUAUAGUUUUCAUGAUGCUUAAUGAUCUUUGAUUGUAUCUUUAUUGUGCUUUUCACGUAAAGGACUUUUGGAGAAUGUUGUGAAUUGCGUUGCGCGCAAACCCAUCCAAUUCAUUAACUUAAGGAGAACUUGACGGUUAAUUUAAGCGGACCUAAUUAACCUAGGGUGUUGAGUUUCAUAAUUUAUCGAAAGAC